rnacentral:rRNA from 1 species
UAGUCCACACUGUAAUCGAUGAAUACUAGGUAUUGACCCCGCCAGUGCCGGAGCUAACGCGUUAAGCUGACCGCCUGGGGAGUACGGCCGCAAGGCUAAAACUCAAAGAAAUUGACGGGGGCCCGCACAAGCGGAGGAGCAUGUGGCUUAAUUCGAUGCAACGCGAAGAACCUUACCAGGGCUUGACAUGUAACUGCUCAUCCUGUGAAAGCAGGACUCUUUCGAAGGUGUUACACAGGUGCUGCAUGGCCGUCGUCAGUUCGUGCCGUGAGGUGUUGGGUUAAGUCCCGCAACGAACGCAACCCCUUUGUUUAGUUGCUACUGGAUUUAUUCAGGCACUCUAGACAUACUGCCCGUACAAAGCGGGAGGAAGGUGGGGACGACGUCAGGUCAGUAUGGCCCUUACGCCCUGGGCUGCACACGUGCUACAAUGGUAGGUACAGAGGGAAGCAAUACCGCGAGGUGGAGCAAAUCCUAAAAACCUGCCCCAGUUCAGAUUGGAGU